AUUGAACGCUGGCGGCAUGCUUUACACAUGCAAGUCGGACGAGCGGCGAACGGGUGAGUAACGCAUCGGAAAGUACCGAGUAAUGGGGGAUAACUGUCCGAAAGGACAGCUAAUACCGCAUAUCAUUCGAGCGGCCGAUGUACGAUUAGCUGGUUGGAGGGGUAAAGGCACACCAAGGCGACGAUCAGUAGCGGGUCUGAGAGGAUGAUCCGCCAGACUGGAACUGAGACACUGCCCCUACUCCUACGGGAGGCAGCAGUCGGGAAUUUUAGACCAUGGGCGCGAGCCUGCUCCAGCCAUGCCGCGUGUCUGAAGAAGGCCUUCGGGUUGUAAAGGACUUUUGUCAGGGAAGCGGUACCUGAAGAAUAAGCACCGGCUAACUACGUGCCAGCCGCCGCGGUAAUAC
rnacentral:rRNA from 1 species